AACGAACGCUGGCGGCGUGCCUAACACAUGCAAGUCGAACGAGAAAGUUUCCUUCGGGAAAUGAGUAGAGUGGCGCACGGGUGAGUAACACGUGGAUAAUCUGCCUGAUAAUCUGGGAUAACAUUUCGAAAGAAGUGCUAAUACCGGAUAAGCCCACAGUAUCUUCGGGUACAGCGGGAAAAGAUGGCCUCUUCUUGAAAGCUAUUGUUAUCAGAUGAGUCCGCGGUCCAUUAGCUAGUUGGUGGGGUAAUGGCCCACCAAGGCGACGAUGGAUAGCUGGUUUGAGAGAAUGAUCAGCCACACUGGAACUGAGACACGGGUCCAGACUCCUACGGGGA
rnacentral:rRNA from 1 species